rnacentral:rRNA from 1 species
AUACUCCUUGAAGAUCGCAUGGUCUUCUCGGGAAAGUUCCGGCGGUGAGGGAUGGGCCCGCGGCCCAUUAGCUUGUUGGUGGGGUAAUGGCCCACCAAGGCGACGAUGGGUAGCCGAGCUGAGAGGCUGACCGGCCACACUGGGACUGAGACACGGCCCAGACUCCUACGGGAGGCAGCAGUGGGGAAUCUUGCGCAAUGGGCGAAAGCCUGACGCAGCAACGCCGCGUGCGGGAUGAAGGCCUUCGGGUUGUAAACCGCUUUCAGCAGGGACGAAAAUGACUGUACCUGCAGAAGAAGCCCCGGCUAACUACGUGCCAGCAGCCGCGGUAAUACGUAGGGGGCAAGCGUUAUCCGGAUUCAUUGGGCGUAAAGCGCGCGUAGGCGGCUUGUUAAGCGAGGUGUGAAAACCGGGGGCUCAACCCGCGGCUUGCACCUCGAACUGGCAGGCUUGAGUCUGGUAGAGGAAAGUGGAAUUCCCAGUGUAGCGGUGAAAUGCGC